rnacentral:rRNA from 1 species
CUUGACGAACAUAGAGCAUUGGAACCACCUGAUCCCUUCCCGAACUCAGAAGUGAAACGAUGCAUCGCCGAUGGUAGUGUGGGGU